AAGACCUUGCACUUUUGGAGCGGCCGAUGUUUGAUUAGCUAGUUGGUGGGGUAAUGGCCUACCAAAGCUUCGAUCAGUAGCUGGUCUGAGAGGACGGCCAGCRACACUGGGACUGAGACACGGCCCAGACUCCUACGGGAGGCAGCAGUGGGGAAUUUUGGWCAAUGGGCGCAAGCCUGAUCCAGCCAUGCCGCGUGAGUGAAGAAGGCCUUCGGGUUGUAAAGCUCUUUCAGCCGGGAAGAAAAGGUUGCGACUAAUAAUCGCAAUUCAUGACGGUACCGAAAGAAGAAGCACCGGCUAACUACGUGCCAGCAGCCGCGGUAAUACGUAGGGUGCGAGCGUUAAUCGGAAUUACUGGGCGUAAAGGGUGCGCAGGCGGUUUUGUAAGUCAGAUGUGAAAUCCCCGGGCUUAACCUGGGAACU
rnacentral:rRNA from 1 species